CCAGGCUCAGGAUGAAAAGCCAGUCCUGCCUGAGCAGCCCCAGUCUCCUCCCACAGGAGCCUUCAUCCAGCAUGGAGUUCUUGGCUCUGCUCCUCUGCCUGGUGGCAGCGCCCUGCUGUGUCCUGUCUCUGGUGCAGCUGCAGGAGUCAGGACCUGGCCUGGUGAAGCCUUCAGAGACCCUGUCCCUCACUUGUGCCAUCUCUGGAUUCUCCUUAACCAGUUAUCAUAUGCACUGGGUCCGUCAGGCUCCAGCGAAGGGGCUGGAGUGGAUUGGUGCUAUAUGGGAUAGUGGAAGCACAUAUUAUAACUCAGCCCUUCAGUCCCGAGUGCGCAUCAGCAGGGACACUUCCAAGAGCCAAGUUUCACUAACACUGAGCAUCCUGAGAACCGAGGACACGGCCGUGUAUUACUGUGCGAGAGACACAGUGAGGGGACGUCAGUGUGAGCCCAGACACAAACCUCCCUGCAGGGGCGCUCAGGACAGCAGGGGGCGCACAGCACGCACUGAGCUCUUGUCAGACCAAGGACCAGGUGCAGUUUUCCAGGACAGCUUUGCUGUUAGAGUCUGUGGUUUUCUCUUCCUGUCUCCAAAUUUGUUAAGAUGCUCUGCAGUGUUCGGCUUCUAG